rnacentral:rRNA from 1 species
GAUGAACGCUGGCGGCGUGCUUAACACAUGCAAGUCGAACGGUGAAGCAGGAGCUUGCUCCUGUGGAUCAGUGGCGAACGGGUGAGUAACACGUGAGCAAUCUGCCCCGAACUCUGGGAUAAGCGCUGGAAACGGCGUCUAAUACCGGAUACGACGCGCGACGGCAUCGUCUGCGCGUGGAAAGAACUUCGGUUCGGGAUGAGCUCGCGGCCUAUCAGCUUGUUGGUGAGGUAAUGGCUCACCAAGGCGACGACGGGUAGCCGGCCUGAGAGGGUGACCGGCCACACUGGGACUGAGACACGGCCCAGACUCCUACGGGAGGCAGCAGUGGGGAAUAUUGCACAAUGGGCGCAAGCCUGAUGCAGCAACGCCGCGUGAGGGACGACGGCCUUCGGGUUGUAAACCUCUUUUAGUAGGGAAGAAGCGAAAGUGACGGUACCUGCAGAAGAAGCACCGGCUAACUACGUGCCAGCCGCCGCGGUAACAC